UAAAACUUAUAAAAGCCCUUCAAGACUGGGCUGAAGAUUAUAUACUAACGCUAUUAUCCCAGCCUUUUUACUCAGAUACAAUAUACUAAAUAUUUGUUUGGCCAAUAACGUUAUUGAAGUUAAUUGGCUACACCUGCUACACCUGCAUUUCCUAGAUAACGAGAAACCUCUUUUUUCUAACGUUACUCUCUUCAGUUGUUACGUUUAUGUUAUUAAAUGCUGCGACAUUAACUACGCUCCAUGUUGACAUACUUCUUGAAGACAUGUGAGGGAAAAUAAUCAUCAUGGGAUUCAUGUUAAGAUUUGGAUGAGUCCUACAACUAUGAUGAGUACCAGAGCGAGGAGUUUUCCUACAGUGAAAACAUCCUGGAUCCUUGUCGCCCAGCGCACACUGGAGCAGUUCACCCAGGUCUGAAGUGUGAUGCGGGCCAUAGGGGAGCAUGGAGGCGGUACCAAGCAGCCAAUAGGAACAUCAAACAGCCAACCAGAAUGUCAGCUGGCCAAUGGGAUCCCCCAUCAUUGAUGUGCAAGGUGUCCUGCCCAUUUCCUGUUUCCAUGGAGCUCGGUGACAGGAGCGUCACGAUACAGAUGGUGGCGAGGAGUCUGGUGGCGAUGUACGGAGGCAGGCAGUCCUGGAAGGCCGGCUGCAAGACGUAAUUAGAGAAGGUGAGCGCGAUGACAGCCAGCGUGGUCGGAUACAUGAUGAGGACGGCACUCCAUAACAACAGGAAGCUACAGGACCAAGAGACAAAACACACAGGAUUUAUCUCCACUGCAGCAGUUGGGGUUGGGGGGCUUGCUCAAGGGCAUCUUGGCAUCAGUUAUAAGAGACUGGCGCCCAAGCAUGAGGAAGAGACAGUGAAGAAAUCACAGAUGGAAAC